CUACGUGCCAGCAGCCGCGGUAAUACGUAGGUGGCAAGCGUUGUCCGGAAUUAUUGGGCGUAAAGCGCGCGCAGGCGGAUCAGUCAGUCUGUCUUAAAAGUUCGGGGCUUAACCCCGUGAUGGGAUGGAAACUGCUGAUCUAGAGUAUCGGAGAGGAAAGUGGAAUUCCUAGUGUAGCGGUGAAAUGCGUAGAUAUUAGGAAGAACACCAGUGGCGAAGGCGACUUUCUGGACGAAAACUGACGCUGAGGCGCGAAAGCCAGGGGAGCGAACGGGAUUAGAUACCCCGGUAGUCCUGGCCGUAAACGAUGGGUACUAGGUGUAGGAGGUAUCGACCCCUUCUGUGCCGGAGUUAACGCAAUAAGUACCCCGCCUGGGGAGUACGACCGCAAGGUUGAAACUCAAAGGAAUUGACGGGGGCCCGCACAAGCGGUGGAGUAUGUGGUUUAAUUCGACGCAACGCGAAGAACCUUACCAGGUCUUGACAUUGAUGGACAGAACUAGAGAUAG
rnacentral:rRNA from 1 species